GAUGAACGCUGGCGGCGUGCUUAACACAUGCAAGUCGAACGAUGAAGCCCAGCUUGCUGGGUGGAUUAGUGGCGAACGGGUGAGUAACACGUGAGUAACCUGCCCUUGACUCUGGGAUAAGCCUGGGAAACUGGGUCUAAUACUGGAUAUGACUUCUCAUCGCAUGGUGGGGGGUGGAAAGAUUUAUUGGUCUUGGAUGGACUCGCGGCCUAUCAGCAUGUUGGUGAGGUAAUGGCUCACCAAGGCGACGACGGGUAGCCGGCCUGAGAGGGUGACCGGCCACACUGGGACUGAGACACGGCCCAGACUCCUACGGGAGGCAGCAGUGGGGAAUAUUGCACAAUGGGCGCAAGCCUGAUGCAGCGACGCCGCGUGAGGGAUGACGGCCUUCGGGUUGUAAACCUCUUUCAGUAGGGAAGAAGCGAGAGUGACGGUACCUGCAGAAGAAGCGCCGGCUAACUACGUG
rnacentral:rRNA from 1 species